CCUACGGGUGGCAGCAGUGAGGAAUCUUGGUCAAUGGGCUUACGCCUGAACCAGCCAAGUCGCGUGAGGGAAGACUGCCCUAUGGUUUGUAAACCUCUUUUGUAGGGGAGCAAAACCGGCUACGUGUAGCCGGACUGCUAGUACCUGAAGAAAAAGCAUCGCCUAACUCCGUGCCAGCAGCCGCGGGAAUACGGAGGAUGCGAGCGUGAUCCGGAUUUAUUGGGUUUAAGGGGUGCGCAGGCGGAACGCAAGGUCAGCGGUAAAAUCGCGGGGCUCAACCUCGCUCAGCCGUUGAAACUGGCGUUCUUGAGUGGGUGAGAAGUAUGCGGAAUGCGUGGUGUAGCGGUGAAAUGCAUAGAUAUCACGCAGAACUCCGAUUGCGAAGGCAGCAUACCGG
rnacentral:rRNA from 1 species